UAGUCAGGUGCAACUCCGGCAGCGCCGCCGCUAACUUAGCUUAGCGUACUGAAUGGAAUCCUUUGUUGCCGGUUAGCAUUUCGUGAGUAAAAGUGAGCCAAAAAC